AACGAACGCUGGCGGCAUGCCUAACACAUGCAAGUCGAACGAGACCUUCGGGUCUAGUGGCGCACGGGUGCGUAACGCGUGGGAACCUGCCCUUAGGUUCGGAAUAACUCCCCGAAAGGGGUGCUAAUACCGGAUAAUGUCUUCGGACCAAGGAUUUAUCGCCUUUGGAUGGGCCCGCGUUGGAUUAGCUAGUUGGUAGGGUAAAAGCCUACCAAGGCGACGAUCCAUAGCUGGCCUGAGAGGAUGAUCAGCCACACUGGGACUGAGACACGGCCCAGACUCCUACGGGAGGCAGCAGUGGGGAAUAUUGGACAAUGGGCGAAAGCCUGAUACAGCAAUGCCGCGUGAGUGAUGAAGGCCUUAGGGUUGUAAAGCUCUUUUACCCGGGAUGAUAAUGACAGUACCGGGAGAAUAAGCUCCGGCUAACUCCGUG
rnacentral:rRNA from 1 species